AUUAAAGUGGCAGAGCAAAAUGCGAGGAAUUUAAGCUUCCUUUACGAAAGUUUCCUUUAAUA
rnacentral:tRNA from 1 species